GGCACCUGUACCUUUUUAUCCUCCUGAGGUUAGGUGAAAUUCCUGCAUUUAUUUUGGAUGUUAUUUCGCAGUGAUUAGCAGGUAUCUGUCUGAGUGAAGCUCAGCAAAUAAUUGCAGGUCUCAUUUACCCAUGAUCCCGUGCUCGUCAUUCCUGAUGUCCAGAGGGGAUGAGUCCGAUUUAUCAUUGUUUCAGAUCGGAAACAAGCAAAGUGAAGCUGGGGACCUGUGCACAGCCACGGUGCGGAAGGUUCGACCCCACCGUCACUACCCUGCAGGCCCGUCGGUGUGCCAGAGUCAAAGCAUCGAGGCUGAGGAGGGAUGGAAAUGAAUCGUAAAGACCCUGGAAAAUCCAUGAGAAAAGACACACACACACUUAUCCCUGCGAUCAGAGCAUAACCGAACAUGAGCUGACAGGAAAAACAGAAGUGAGCAGACUGUGAUCGUAAAUAAAUAAUAUUUCUUGUUGUUUUCCUGUACCCUAAAACAUAUAUGACAAAUUAGAAAAUCAGUGUAAAAUCAUCUAAGACUACAUUGUGAAAAGCUUCAGGUAUUUUCUUUUUCUCUUUCUCACUCGCUUCCUGUUUUACUUUGGUAAUCUCUUUCCCUUUGAACUUCUGUCCUUUUACUUCCUGUCUUUGUCUUUUUCCCACCUUUUUGAUCGUUGCUUUCCUUAUUGGUCACUCCUGUGACCACAACAUAAAAUAGAGCUAUUUUUUACUUUCCUUAUUCUCCCUUCAUGUUCUUCUGAUCUGAUUGAAGCUUGUAAGUUUGUAUUCCCAUCUACUGAUAUUAUUUUAUUAUUAUGUUAAUUUAGCACAAGGUUCAGUUAGCUUUGCAC